rnacentral:pre_miRNA from 1 species
GCGGCCAGUCCGGUCGCCCUCUCCACUGGAGAGGGCGGCCAGAUCUGGUCGCCUUCUCCACUGGAGAGGACGACCAGUCCGGUCGC